rnacentral:rRNA from 1 species
GACGAACGCUGGCGGCGUGCUUAACACAUGCAAGUCGAACGGAAAGGCCCUGCUUUUGUGGGGUGCUCGAGUGGCGAACGGGUGAGUAACACGUGAGUAACCUGCCCUUGACUUUGGGAUAACUUCAGGAAACUGGGGCUAAUACCGGAUAGGAGCUCCUGCUGCAUGGUGGUGGUUGGAAAGUUUCGGCGGUUGGGGAUGGACUCGCGGCUUAUCAGCUUGUUGGUGGGGUAGUGGCUUACCAAGGCUUUGACGGGUAGCCGGCCUGAGAGGGGUACCGGCCACAAUGGGACUGAGAGACGGACCAGACUCCUACGGGAGGCAGCAGGGGGGAAUAUUGCACAAUGGGCGGAAGCCUGAUGCAGCAACGCCGCGUGCGGGAUGACGGCCUUCGGGUUGUAAACCGCUUUCGCCGGUGACGAAGCGUGAGUGACGGUAAUGGGUAAAGAAGCACCGGCUAACUACGUG